GCAAGUCGAGCGGUAAGGCCUUUCGGGGUACACGAGCGGCGAACGGGUGAGUAACACUUCGGUGAUCUGCCCUGCCAUUCGGUAUAAGCGUGGGAAACUGGGUCUAAUACCGGAUAUGACCUCCUAUCGCAUGGUGGGUGGUGGAAAGAUUUAUCGGUGCAGGAUGGGCCCGCGGCCUAUCAGCUUGUUGGUGGGGUAACGGCCUACCAAGGCGACGACGGGUAGCCGACCUGAGAGGGUGACC
rnacentral:rRNA from 1 species